CCUACGCGUGGCAGCAGUGGGGGAUCUUGCACAAUGGGCGAACGCCUGAUGCAGCGACGCCGCUUGAGGGAAGACGGUCUUCGGAUUGUACCCCUCUGUCUUUGGGGAAGAAAAUGACUGUACCCAAAGAGGAAGCUCCGGCUAACUACGGGCCAGCAGCCGCGGUAAUACGUAGGUGGCAAGCGUUGUCCGGAAUUACUGGGGGUAAAGGGAGCGUAGGCGGGAUGGCAAGUAGAAUGUUAAAUCCAUCGGCUCAACCGGUGGCUGCGUUCUAAACUGCCGUUCUGGAGUGAAGUAGAGGCAGGCGGAAUUCCUAGUGUAGCGGUGAAAUGCGUAGAUAUUAGGAGGAACACCAGUGGCGAAGGCGGCCUGCUGGGCUUUAACUGACGCUGAGGCUCGAAAGCGUGGGGAGCAAACAGGAUUAGAUACCCGGGUAGUC
rnacentral:rRNA from 1 species